GGACCAGGAAGCCACUCGGUUGCAUCAAAACAAAUCAGACUAGCUUCUGGAGGAGCUGACAAACACGUUACCGGUGAACUUUUAGCGCCAUAUCCGGGUUGACAUGGAAGACACACUCUUCCAGCUAAAGUUCACGUCCAAGCAGCUCGAGAGACUCGCCAAGAAGGCCGAGAAGGAGUCUGAGAAGGAGCAGGCCAAAGUCAAGAAGGCUUUGCAGCAGAAGAACGUGGAAUGUGCCAGAGUCUACGCAGAAAAUGCCAUCCGGAAAAAAAACGAAGGCCUCAACUGGCUGCGUAUGGCGUCCCGGGUGGACGCAGUGGCCUCCAAAGUCCAGACGGCCGUCACCAUGAAGGGGGUGACCAAGAACAUGGGUCAGGUGACCAAGGCCCUGGACAAAGCUCUGAACUCCAUGGACCUCCAGAAGGUCUCUGCUGUCAUGGAUAAGUUUGAAACCCAGGUUCAGAACCUCGACGUCCACACCUCAGUGAUGGAGGACUCGAUGAGCUCGGCCAUGACCCUGACCACGCCUCAGGAGCAGGUGGACGACCUGAUCCACCAGAUCGCUGAGGAGAGCGGCCUGGAGGUGAUGGACCAGCUCAGCCAGCUGCCGGCCGGAGCCACGUCGGUGGUGGGAGGAGAGAGCUCCCGGAGCCAGGAGAAGGAGGACCAGCUGUCCCGACGGUAAGAACUGAGCCAGAACCUGGACCCUGCAGCGUGGGCGGGUCAGAGCUGGAGACAAAAGAUCACGUGUCUUCAUCUCACUAAGCCUUUCCUUGGUUCUGGAGACAAAAUAACACACCAGCUGUUCAGAGAAGCUGUUCUGCAUCGAUUUACAGAACCGAGUUUUAAAUAUUCAGACAGUAAAGAUGUCACCUUUGUCCUUCACAACACGCUGAAAUAACAACGUGAGAACAAUCGUUUACUGCAGAGCUGCUCCUUCUCUGUUCACUGUGAAGACAAAUACAAUCUGUUCAUGAAGGUUUCAGAAGAACUAAAAACAGUCCAACACUAAAACAAACUGUACAAACGGUGAAAAUAACAGAAACUUGUUUUUCUGAUUUGAAUGCAGUAAAAACUCACAUAUAGUAAAAGAAUGAAUUUCCGUUUUAAAAGUACGUAUUUUAUGUGGACGUCAUUUACUCGUUAUUUACUUUAACUGGUCUCUCACACAACAACAAAUAUCUGAAAAGUAGAUGUAGGUAGCUGUUGUUAGCAUAGUUAGCUGUAGUUAGCUGUGGUUAACUGUAGUUAGCUGUAGUUAGCUGUAGCUUCCAGAUUCAGCGGUCGUGGGUUGGACUCCUGCUCUCCACCCUUUGCUGCAGGUCUCUCCCUGCUCUUCUCCUCAUUUCCUGUCUCUCUCUGCUGCUCUG